rnacentral:rRNA from 1 species
GAUGAACGCUGGCGGCGUGCCUAAUACAUGCAAGUCGAGCGAACAGACGAGAGUGCUUGCACUCUCUGACGUUAGCGGCGGACGGGUGAGUAACACGUGGGUAACCUACCUAUAAGACUGGGAUAACUUCGGGAAACCGGAGCUAAUACCGGAUAAUAUUUAGCUUCGCAUGAAGCAAUAGUGAAAGACGGUCCUGCUGUCACUUAUAGAUGGACCCGCGGUGUAUUAGCUAGUUGGUGAGGUAACGGCUCACCAAGGCAACGAUACAUAGCCGACCUGAGAGGGUGAUCGGCCACACUGGGACUGAGACACGGCCCAGACUCCUACGGGAGGCAGCAGUAGGGAAUCUUCCGCAAUGGACGAAAGUCUGACGGAGCAAUGCCGCGUGAGUGAAGAAGGUUUUCGGAUCGUAAAACUCUGUUGUAAGGGAAGAACAAGUACGUUAGUAACUGAACGUACCUUGACGGUACCUUACCAGAAAGCCACGGCUAACUACGUG